AUGCACGCUGGCGGCGUGCCUCAUACAUGCAGGUCGAGCGCACAGACGAGGAGCUUGCUCCUCUGACGUUAGCGGCGGACGGGUGAGUAACACGUGGAUAACCUACCUAUAAGACUGGGAUAACUUCGGGAAACCGGAGCUAAUACCGGAUAAUAUAUUGAACCGCAUGGUUCAAUAGUGAAAGACGGUUUUGCUGUCACUUAUAGAUGGAUCCGCGCCGCAUUAGCUAGUUGGUAAGGUAACGGCUUACCAAGGCAACGAUGCGUAGCCGACCUGAGAGGGUGAUCGGCCACACUGGAACUGAGACACGGUCCAGACUCCUACGGGAGGCAGCAGUAGGGAAUCUUCCGCAAUGGGCGAAAGCCUGACGGAGCAACGCCGCGUGAGUGAUGAAGGUCUUCGGAUCGUAAAACUCUGUUAUUAGGGAAGAACAAAUGUGUAAGUAACUAUGCACGUCUUGACGGUACCUAAUCAGAAAGCCACGGCUAACUACGU
rnacentral:rRNA from 1 species